CCGCUCUGAGACACAUGGCUCGUAGGGGAAGUGGUCCGUCGCGUCGGGAUGGUCUCGCGGUCUAUCAGCAAGUUGGUGCGGUAACGGCACAACAAGGCAUCGGCGGGUAGCUGGUCUGAGAGGACGAUGAGCCACACUGGGAGUGAGACGCGGCCCAGACUCCUACGGGAGGCAGCAGCAGGGAAUCUUGCACAAUGGGCGAAAGCCUGAUGCAGCGACGCCGCGUGGGGGAAGAAGGCCUGCGGGUUGUAAACUCCUUUUCCAGGGGAAGAAGAUCUGACGGUACUCUGGGAAUAAGCCCCGGCUAACUACGUGCCAGCAGCCGCGGUAAUACGUAGGGGGCGAGCGUUGUCCGGAUUUACUGGGCGUAAAGGGCGAGUAGGCGGUCUAUUAAGUCUCAUGUGAAAUCUCCCGGCUUAACUGGGAGGGGUCAUGGGAUACUGGUAGACUUGAGGGCAGUAGAGGAGAGUGGAAUUCCCAGAGUAGCGGUGAUAUGCGUAGAUACUGGGAGGAACACCCGAGGCGAAGGCGACUCUCUGGGCUGUACCUGACGCUGAGGCGCGAAAGCAUGGGGAGCGAACCGGAUUAGAUACCCGGGUAGUCCAUGCCCUAAACGAUGGAUACUAGAUAUGGGGGGUAUCGACCCCCCCCGUGUCGUAGCUAACGUGAUAAGUAUCCCGCCUGGGGAGUACGGCCGCAAGGCUAAAACUCAAAGGAAUUGACGGGGACCCGCACAAGCAGCGGAGCGUGUGGUUUAAUUCGAUGCAACGCGAAGAACCUUACCUAGACUUGACAUGUUUUUGAAAGCCCCCGAAACGGAGCCCUCCUUCGGGACAAAAUCACAGAUGUUGCAUGGC
rnacentral:rRNA from 1 species